rnacentral:tRNA from 1 species
AAAAAGAUAAGCUAAACAAGCUACAGGGUUCAUACCCCUUUAAUGAAAAUAUUAAUUUUUCUCUUUUUA